UGUGCAUAUGGAGAUCAGAAGUUGAUAUC
rnacentral:piRNA from 1 species